UACGGGGGGGGCAAGCGUUGUUCGGAUUCAUUGGGCGUAAAGGGUGCGUAGGCGGCGCGGUAAGUCGGGUGUGAAAUCUUGGAGCUUAACUCCGAAACUGCAUUCGAUACUGCCGUGCUUGAGGACUGGAGAGGAGACUGGAAUUUACGGUGUAGCGGUGAAAUGCGUAGAUAUCUGCAGGAACACCCGUGGCGAAAGCGGCGAGCUGGAUCACUACUGACGCUGAGGAACGAAAGCUAGGGGAGCAAACAGG
rnacentral:rRNA from 1 species